GUAAUGGCAUUAGAAGGAAAGGCAUUGAGUUGGUACCAAUGGUGGGAAAAGUGUAAUCCGAGUCAUUGCUGGGAAGCUUUUAAAAUUGCAGUGUUGCGACGGUUCCAACCUUCCAUGGUCCAGAAUCCGUUCGAACAAUUGCUUGCUCUCAAACAAGUGGGGUCUGUGGAGGAAUAUGUGGAGAGCUUUGAGAAAUACGUAGGGGCUUUAAGAACACUAGACGAGAGCUUCGUGACUGGAGUUUUCUUGAAUGGCCUACGGGAUGAGUUAAGGGCGGAGGUAAAACUGUUCGAAUUACACUCUCUUUCAUAGAUUAUAGAGAAAGUUUUGCUUAUUGAUCAAAAAAAUCAGGUAAUAGCUAGACGGAUGGGAUAUGGACCCUUAGUCAAAAAUAUGAGUAAUACUCGUCUUGGACCUACCACUAAAACAGUAACAGUGGAGGCUAAGCCCGCUUGGAAAAGAAAUGGAGAAGGGGCAAAUAAUAACAAUACUGGAGGGAGGAUCUCGGUUCAGAAUCCGUUUGGGGAUGGAAACAAAAACAUAGGAGGAGAGUAUAGACAAUUAUCCAACGCUGAGUGGAAAGAGAAAAGAGAGAAAAGCUUAUGCUUUCGCUGCGAUGAGCCCUAUACAAGGGAACAUCGAUAUAAGAACAAACAAUUUUGUAUGAUUAUUAUGGAGGAAUAGGAUGAGGAGGAAGGGGAGGCAAGAUCAGAUUCACUGUCCACAUUAAACUCUCUACACCUCUCUUUGUGUUCGAUGAAAGGUUUCACAACAACAAGGUCAUGGAAGGUCGCUGGAUUGAUCGACG
rnacentral:lncRNA from 1 species